GGCUUCUCAAUCAUUCUUUCUCUUAAUGACAUUAUGUUUUAUUUAUCUCAUCUCAACGUACUAUUGUACAAAUUAAGCUUCUUCAUCAAGGUUAUCCACUCUUUCAAUCUGAAUCUCAAUGACAAUAUGUUUCGUCAUUCAUCUCUUAUUAUUUCAUGAAACCUAGCACGAUACUUCUUUCUCAUUCUCAAUCAAUUCAAGUAGGUGUGCAUAGCAACUACCGACUGAACUAGGGUGCAUAGGAACAGGAACUCUGACCACACAAGGAAUCACUGUACAAUCCUCCUUUCCAUGCACAUAAUUUCAUAAGUAGAUUGCUCAAAAUCCACUAAGGUCAUCCUUACUACGGGUGCAUGCAUGAAGUAUUUCGCUGAUCACAUGAGGAAUCACUAGUGCAAUUUUGCUUUCCAUACACAUGAUUCAUAAAUAAAUUACUCAAUUAACACCCUCUGCUAUAUAUGCCCACAUACGGGUGUGUGCUUAAAGCAUCUCAUAAGUAUUACUUGACAACCCUCAUACUUUCACACAAGUUGAGGUUUAUGUGUUUGUAUUCACAACCUAUUAAGCAAUUGGGUUUGAUCCCAAUGUCAAAAGGUUAAAAGAUAAAAGAAAUUGCCAGGAACUAGUAAAGAGUUUUACAUAUAUUUUUUCAAUUAACACAACUGUUUUACAAGGUGAUCAACAUGCUGCAGUUUGUUUAAGCAGUUCCUGCUGCUCUUGAUAGUCAACCUGGUGGCUUCUGCAUUGUUCCGACUGAUUGCUGCAACAGGCAGGAACAUGGUUGUUGCUAAUACAUUUGGUGCGUUUGCAUUGUUCCUGUUUUUUGCAUUGGGUAGAUUUGUCCUUUCACGAGAGGACAUUAAGGAUUGGUGGACAUGGGCUUAUUGGUGUUCACUUUUGAUGUAUGGGCAGAAUGCGAUAGUGGUUAAUGUGUUCCUUGGAUAUGGUUGGAGAAAAGUAAUAACUUUGAAUGAGUCUUGCUUACAUUUCUGUGUUUGUCUUUAAUUAUCUUGUAAAGUCUGAAUCCUUAAUGUCAAAGUUUUUGCCAAAAUCAGCUGAACCACUGGGAGUUUUAAUUCUGAAGUCACGUGGGUUCUUCCAGGAUGGGUGUUAGUGGUGCUGGUAAAGCCACCCUGAUGGAUGUGUUGGCUAGAAGGAAAACGGGUGGGUACAUUAAUGGGAACAUCACAAUUUCAGGUUACCCAAAGAAGCAAGAGACAUUUGCUCGUAUUUAAGGAUACUGUGAGCAAAAUGACAUCCAUUCUCAUCACGUUACUGUAGAAGAGUCUUUGAUCUACUCAGCCUGGCUUCGAUUACCCCAUGAAGUUGAUUCCGAAACUAGAAGGAUGAUCUGUGAAAUUCCUUAAAAGCUCAUUGUCAUUUUUUCUCCUUUUGUCAAUUAGUUCACUGGAAGAAGCUUGAUGUUGAAUACAUUAUGGCUGCAGUUACACUAAUUUAUAGUUUCACCUGUUGUUCUCAGAUGUUCAUUGAGGAAGUCAUGGAGCUUUUUUGAAUUAACUACAUUGAGAGGAGCACUAUUGGUUUGCCUGGUGUAAAUAGCUUGUAAACUGAGCAGGGAAAGAGGCUUACCUUAGCAGUUGAGCUUGUAGCAAACCCAUCUACCAUUUUUAUGGAUGAGCCAACAUCAGGUCUGGAUGCAAGAGCUGCGGCAAUUGUUAUGAGAGCAGUUAGGAAUACGUUUGACACAGGAAGAACAGUUUUUAUGCACCAUCCAUCAACCAAGCAUUGACAUAUUUGAAGCUCUUGAUGAGGUGAGAAAUUUUAUGUUAGGGCAAAAGUAUAUGUUAAGAAGAAAUCAAGGGAGAAAGGAAGAAUGACAAGUGGCAGCCAGAUAAGGAGAGUACAAGAUGAUCAAUCAAGCCAGGAAAGUAUUAUGAGUCAAAGGCAGCAGGUAAUGGAAGCAAGGAGCAUGUACCAGAUCCUAGGGAAUUUAAAAGAUGAGAUGACAUUCCCUGAGAGAAGCAGCAGGCGCGAGGGAAUGGAAAAGGAGUAUAAAAAGACUGGGAGGACAGAGAAAAGGGGAGAUUUUUUAAGAAAAGAAGGUGAAGUAGGGAGAGACAGCCUCUCGAAGAGCUGGAGCAGUGCUUGGGGAUUGAAAAGGGUGUAGAGUGUCCUGUUCUUUUGAAUGUAUUUUGCUAUGGAUAUGUAACAUUGACAGCAAACUUGAUUGUUAAAUGUAAACAUUCCAUUAAUGAAUGAAACAAAUACAUAUGCUCUGCUGUGAA